rnacentral:rRNA from 1 species
UACGUAGGUGGCAAGCGUUGUCCGGAUUUACUGGGCGUAAAGAGCGCGCAGGCGGUCGUUCAAGUCGCGUGUGAAAGCCCCCGGCUCAACUGGGGAGGGUCACGCGAUACUGAUCGACUCGAAGGCAGGAGAGGGUAGUGGAAUUCCCGGUGUAGUGGUGAAAUGCGUAGAUAUCUGGAGGAACACCGGUGGCGAAGGCGGCAUCCUGGACCGACACUGACGCUGAGGCGCGAAAGCUAGGGGAGCGAACGGG